rnacentral:rRNA from 1 species
UCAGCAGCCGCGGUAAGACAGAGGGUGCAAACGUUGUUCGGAAUUACUGGGCGUAAAGCGCGUGUAGGCUGCUUGGAAAGUCGGAUGUGAAAGCCCUGGGCUCAACCUAGGAAGUGCAUUCGAAACUUCUGAGCUUGAGUAUCGGAGAGGAUCGCGGAAUUCUCGGUGUAGAGGUGAAAUUCGUAGAUAUCGAGAGGAACACCGGUGGCGAAGGCGGCGAUCUGGACGAUUACUGACGCUGAGACGCGAAAGCGUGGGGAGCAAACAGGAUUAGAUACCCUGGUAGUCCACGCCGUAAACGAUGGGUGCUAGGUGUCGCGGGCUUUGACCCCUGCGGUGCCGUAGCUAACGCAUUAAGCACCCCGCCUGGGGAGUACGGCCGCAAGGCUAAAACUUAAAGGAAUUGGCGGGGGAC